GUUUUUAUAGUUUAACUAAAACAUUGGUCUUGUAAACCAAAAAUAAAUUUUAUUUUAAAAAUU
rnacentral:tRNA from 1 species